rnacentral:rRNA from 1 species
UGGCGGACGGGUGAGUAAUGUCUGGGAAACUGCCCGAUGGAGGGGGAUAACUACUGGAAACGGUAGCUAAUACCGCAUAACGUCGCAAGACCAAAGAGGGGACCUUCGGGCCUCUUGCCAUCGGAUGUGCCCAGAUGGGAUUAGCUAGUAGGUGGGGUAACGGCUUACCUAGGCGACGAUCCCUAGCUGGUCUGAGAGGAUGAUCAGCCACACUGGGACUGAGACACGGCCCAG